UCCAUUGUUGGUCCGUGUUGUUGAAGCAAUAUUUGGAAUCAACCUUUUGCUUCAACAACACGGACCAACAAUGGACUAAAUCCUUUCUCGCUUCCCAUCCCAAGUUAGGGAGUUUGUGAAUCACAAGAGCAAGAACGUCCUCUUUACAAACUUCAAGCACCAGCUGUGAUACUUGAUCUAUAUUUGGUUCGACCUCUCCAUCUCCACAGAGCAUACAUCUCACUGCCACAAGAUUUUUCUCAACUUCUUCCAUCGCCUUCUCGAGAGCUUUAACGUCAACAACAGUUUUGGUAUCGAGAGCCAUGAGGCUAUCUUUCACUGCUCUGACCACCUCUUGCGGCGUUUUAGGCCGAGACGGCUUGAAGAAGGAAAACGACAUGAUAGGAUGAUGAUCGUCGAUCGAUCAAAUUUUAAUUUGCUUAGAGUUUCCCUCCCUCUUUUUCA
rnacentral:misc_RNA from 1 species